rnacentral:rRNA from 1 species
GAUGAACGCUAGCGGCAGGCUUAACACAUGCAAGUCGAGGGGUAGAUGGGGCUUGCUCCAUUGAGACCGGCGCACGGGUGCGUAACGCGUAUGCAAUCUGCCUUUUACAGGGGAAUAGCCCAGAGAAAUUUGGAUUAAUGCCCCAUAGCGCUGCAGGGCGGCAUCGCCGAGCAGCUAAAGUCGUUACGGCAAAAGAUGAGUAUGCGUCCUAUUAGCUAGUUGGUAAGGUAACGGCUUACCAAGGCGACGAUGUCUAGGGGUUCUGAGAGGAUGAUCCCCCACACUGGUACUGAGACACGGACCAGACUCCUACGGGAGGCAGCAGUGAGGAAUAUUGGACAAUGGGCGAGAGCCUGAUCCAGCCAUGCCGCGUGCAGGAAGACUGCCCUAUGGGUUGUAAACUGCUUUUAUACAGGAAGAAACACUCCCUCGUGAGGGAGCUUGACGGUACUAUAUGAAUAAGGAUCGGCUAACUCCGUGCCAGCAGCCGCGGUAAUACGGAGGAUCCAAGCGUUAUCCGGACUUAUUGGGUUUAAAGGGUCCGUAGGUGGAUAAUUAAGUCAGAGGUGAAAGUUUGCGGCUCAACCGUAAAAUUGCCUUUGAUACUGGUUAUCUUGAGUUAUUGUGAAGUAGUUAGAAUAUGUAGUGUAGCGGUGAAAUGCAUAGAUAUUACAUAGAAUACAAAUUGCGAAGGCAGAUUACUAACAAUAUACUGACACUGAUGGACGAAAGCGUGGGUAGCGAACAGGAUUAGAUACACUGGUAGUCCACGCCGUAAACGACGGAUACUAGCUGUUGGGCUUCGGCUCAGUGGCUAAGCGAAAGUGAUAAGUAUCCCACCUGGGGAGUACGUUCGCAAGAAUGAAACUCAAAGGAAUUGACGGGGGCCCGCACAAGCGGUGGAGCAUGUGGUUUAAUUCGAUCAUACGCGAGGAACCUUACCAGGGCUUAAAUGUAGUGGGACAGGAGUGGAAACACUUUUUUCUUCGGACUCAUUACAAGGUGCUGCAUGGUUGUCGUCAGCUCGUGCCGUGAGGUGUCAGGUUAAGUCCUAUAACGAGCGCAACCCCUGUUGUUAGUUGCCAUCGAGUAAUGUCGGGAACUCUAACAAGACUGCCGGUGCAAACCGUGAGGAAGGUGGGGAUGACGUCAAAUCAUCACGGCCCUUACGUCCUGGGCUACACACGUGCUACAAUGGUAGGUACAGAGAGCAGCCACUGCGCGAGCAGGAGCGAAUCUAUAAAACCUAUCACAGUUCGGAUCGGAGUCUGCAACUCGACUCCGUGAAGCUGGAAUCGCUAGUAAUCGGAUAUCAGCCAUGAUCCGGUGAAUACGUUCCCGGGCCU